rnacentral:misc_RNA from 1 species
UUUCCGUAGGUGAACCCGCGGAAGGAUCAUUAUUGUAUAACCGAGGUGCGAGGGCUGUCGCUGACCCGAAAGGUCGUGCACGCCCGAGUGCCCUCACACACAUCCAUCUCACCCCUAUGUGCACCACCGCGUGGGUCCCCCUUUGGCUUGUUCGGAGGGGGGCUCGCGUUUUCACACAAACCCCCCUUUUAAAAGUGUAGAAUGACCACAUUUAUGCAAUCAAUACAACUUUCAACAACGGAUCUCUUGGCUCUC